GGGGGGGGGGGGGGGGGGGGGGGGGGGGGGGGGGGCGGGGGAAGGGGGGGGGGGGGGGCUCGUCUGACGGUGGCGGCUGACGGGGGAGUAACACGUGGCGAACCUACCUGUAAGACUUGGAGAACGUCGUGGAACCGGAGCUAAUCCCGGAGGAUGGCUGUCACCGCAUUGUUCAAUAAUGAAAGGCGGUUUUGCGUGCACUUGUAGGUGGAUCGGCGCCGCAUUAGCUAGUUGGUAAGGUAACGGCUUACCAAGGCAACGAUGCGUAGCCGACCUGAGAGGGUGAUCGGCCACACUGGAACUGAGACACGGUCCAGACUCCUAAGGGAGGCAGCAGUAGGGAAUCUUCCGCAAUGGGCGAAAGCCUGACGGAGCAACGCCGCGUGAGUGAUGAAGGUCUUCGGAUCGUAAAACUCUGUUAUUAGGGAAGAACAAAUGUGUAAGUAACUAUGCACGUCUUGACGGUACCUAAUCAGAAAGCCACGGCUAACUACGUG
rnacentral:rRNA from 1 species